CAGUUGAAGAUACUUAAGAGUCGGGAGCGACAAAGAAAAACCAAAAGACCUGGAAAUGGAGAACUGGAAGAAAAAUGCAAGACGUAAGACCUUCUGUAUCUAUAAGAAAAGAAACUUCUGUUGUUUAAGCCUACCAGCCUGGUAUUUUUUCUUAUGGCAGCCCAAAUAAAAACUGGUUUUCUUA